CUCAGAUUGAACGCUGGCGGCAGGCCUAACACAUGCAAGUCGGGCGGUAACAGGGAGUGCUUGCACUCUGCUGACGAGCGGCGGACGGGUGAGUAAUGCAUAGGAAUCUGCCUGGUAGUGGGGGAUAGCCCAGAGAAAUUUGGAUUAAUACCGCAUACGCCCUACGGGGGAAAGCAGGGACUCUUCGGAGCCUUGCGCUAUCAGAUGAGCCUAUGUCGGAUUAGCUUGUUGGUGAGGUAACGGCUCACCAAGGCGACGAUCCGUAGCUGGUCUGAGAGGAUGAUCAGCCACACUGGGACUGAGACACGGCCCAGACUCCUACGGGAGGCAGCAGUGGGGAAUAUUGGACAAUGGGCGCAAGCCUGAUCCAGCCAUGCCGCGUGUGUGAAGAAGGCCUUAGGGUUGUAAAGCACUUUCAGCGAGGAGGAAAGGGGAUGCUGCUAAUAUCAGCGUCCUGU
rnacentral:rRNA from 1 species